rnacentral:rRNA from 1 species
AGAGUUUGAUCCUGGCUCAGGAUGAACGCUAGCGACAGGCUUAACACAUGCAAGUCGAGGGGCAGCGGGGGCGUAGCAAUAUGCCUGCCGGCGACCGGCGUACGGGUGAGUAACACGUAUGUAACCUGCCCUAUGCAGGGGGAUAACCCGGAGAAAUCCGGCCUAAUACCGCGUAACACCUUAGGGGAGCAUUCUCUUGAGGUUAAAGGAGAGAUCCGGCAUAGGAUGGACAUGCGUCGCAUUAGGUAGACGGCGGGGUAACGGCCCACCGUGCCGACGAUGCGUAGGGGUUCUGAGAGGAAGGCCCCCCACACUGGUACUGAGACACGGACCAGACUCCUACGGGAGGCAGCAGUGAGGAAUAUUGGUCAAUGGCCGAGAGGCUGAACCAGCCAAGUCGCGUGAGGGAAGAAUGUCCUAAGGAUUGUAAACCUCUUUUGUCGGGGAGCAAAAAGGCUCUGCGGAGUCGUAUUGAGAGUACCCGAAGAAAAAGCAUCGGCUAACUCCGUGCCAGCAGCCGCGGUAAUACGGAGGAUGCGAGCGUUAUCCGGAUUUAUUGGGUUUAAAGGGUGCGCAGGCGGCGUGUCAAGCAAGCGGUAAAAUAGCGGGGCUCAACCCCGUCGAGCCGUUUGAACUGGCGCGCUUGAGUUCAGGCGAGGUAGGCGGAAUUCGUGGUGUAGCGGUGAAAUGCAUAGAUAUCACGAAGAACUCCGAUUGCGAAGGCAGCUUACCAGUCUGCGACUGACGCUCAGGCACGAAAGUGUGGGUAUCGAACAGGAUUAGAUACCCUGGUAGUCCACACAGUAAACGAUGAGCGCUAGGUGUCCGGGUCGCAUGAGACUUGGGUGCCCGAGCGAAAGCGUUAAGCGCUCCACCUGGGGAGUACGCCGGCAACGGUGAAACUCAAAGGAAUUGACGGGGGCCCGCACAAGCGGAGGAACAUGUGGUUUAAUUUGAUGAUACGCGAGGAACCUUACCCGGGCUCAAACGACUCAGGAAUAUAUUGGAAACGAUGUAGCCAGCAAUGGUCUGAGUCGAGGUGCUGCAUGGUUGUCGUCAGCUCGUGCCGUGAGGUGUCGGCUUAAGUGCCAUAACGAGCGCAACCCCUACCGCCAGUUGCCAACGGGUAAAGCCGGGAACUCUGGCGGGACUGCCGGCGCAAGCUGUGAGGAAGGCGGGGAUGACGUCAAAUCAGCACGGCCCUUACGUCCGGGGCGACACACGUGUUACAAUGGCAGGUACAGCGGGAAGCCACCUGGUGACAGGGAGCGGAACCCGAAAGCCUGCCUCAGUUCGGAUUGGAGUCUGCAACUCGACUCCAUGAAGCUGGAUUCGCUAGUAAUCGCGCAUCCGCCAUGGCGCGGUGAAUACGUUCCCGGGCCUUGCACUCACCGCCCGUCAAG